rnacentral:rRNA from 1 species
AGCGAACGCUGGCGGCAGGCCUAACACAUGCAAGUCGAACGAACCUUUCGGGGUUAGUGGCGGACGGGUGAGUAACACGUGGGAACGUGCCUUUAGGUUCGGAAUAACUCAGGGAAACUUGUGCUAAUACCGAAUGUGCCCUUCGGGGGAAAGAUUAAUCGCCUUUAGAGCGGCCCGCGUCUGAUUAGCUAGUUGGUUGAGGUAAUGGCUCACCAAGGCGACGAUCAGUAGCUGGUCUGAGAGGAUGAUCAGCCACAUUGGGACUGAGACACGGCCCAAACUCCUGCGGGAGGCAGCGGUGGGGAAUCUUGCGCAAUGGGCGAAAGCCUGACGCAGCCAUGCCGCGUGAAUGAUGAAGGUCUUAGGAUUGUAAAAUUCUUUCACCGGGGACGAUAAUGACGGUACCCGGAGAAGAAGCCCCGGCUAACUUCGUG